rnacentral:rRNA from 1 species
AGAGUUUGAUCCUGGCUCAGAACGAACGCUGGCGGCAGGCUUAACACAUGCAAGUCGAACGAUGUAGCAAUACAUAGUGGCGCACGGGUGAGUAACGCGUGGGAAUAUACCUUAUAGUGGGGAAUAACUUUGGGAAACUAAAGCUAAUACCGCAUACGCCCGAGAGGGGAAAGAUUUAUCGCUAUAAGAUUAGCCCGCGUGAGAUUAGGUAGUUGGUGGGGUAAUGGCCUACCAAGCCUACGAUCUCUAGCUGGUCUGAGAGGAUGAUCAGCCACACUGGAACUGAGACACGGUCCAGACUCCUACGGGAGGCAGCAGUGGGGAAUAUUGGGCAAUGGAGGAAACUCUGACCCAGCCAUGCCGCGUGAAUGAUGAAGGCCUUAGGGUUGUAAAGUUCUUUCGCCGAUGAAGAUAAUGACGGUAGUCGGAGAAGAAGCCCCGGCUAACUUCGUGCCAGCAGCCGCGGUAAUACGAAGGGGGCUAGCGUUGUUCGGAAUUACUGGGCGUAAAGCGAGCGUAGGUUGCUCGAUAAGUCAGUGGUGAAAGCCCAGAGCUCAACUCUGGAACUGCCAUUGAAACUGUCGAGCUGGAAUCUCAGAGGGGGUAGCGGAAUUCCAAAUGUAGGGGUGAAAUCCGUAGAUAUUUGGAGGAACACCGGUGGCGAAGGCGGCUACCUGGAUGAGUAUUGACACUGAGGCUCGAAAGCGUGGGGAUCAAACAGGAUUAGAUACCCUGGUAGUCC